ensembl:lncRNA
CAGAGUGUCGGAGCCGGAAGGGCCGCUGGAGACAUGUGGUCGCGUUUCUUCACUUUACAGAGAAAGACGAGACCAGGAGCGGUUUGAGUAUUGGCCCAAGGUCACGUGUCAAUUAGCAGGAAGGUCUGCACGACCACCGAAGCCCCUAAUUCUUAUUUCUGUGCUCCUGUGGCUUUCUGUGGUCUCUGGCUGCUGCACCCCUGGGAGGGACGCGAGCCGCAUUUUACAAAAGGAGAAAUGAAUUCGUGAGCACAAUAAAAAUAAACACAUAAAGUGAUUCCCAAGUUUGACAUUACCGGUAACUUCAAAGUACAGAAUGUGUCCACUGAUACCAAGAAAACUAAGGAAUACGGAUGCACGCUGUGAACACAGCAACCCAAACACACGACUCUAAGUGGGCCCCGAUUAAAGAGCUUAACCACCUAUGACAGCUCCACCAAUUGGUAAUAUUAGAUUAACUAAGCAAGGAGGCCAUCAGAUGAGGAGGCUGUAAUGCCGUGGUGACGGUCGUGAGCAAGUCAAAAUCCAAGCCCGUAAAUGCCUCCAGGUCGUGAAACUGAAACCCAAGGAUGACCCGUCACAACAGCCAACUAGACUUUAAGGAACAGCCAGUCAAUGGUUUCCUGGCUUCGCUCUGCCUCUUCCCUGCAGAGGUCUCUCCCCAGCUCCUGUCAGUGGAUUGCUCCUUCCUAACCACUUCCGGUUUGGCGCUGCCCAAUGCAAAUUGAUUUUGGCUCAAACUCUUAAAAUUUUUAAUAUCCCUCAGUUUAUCUUUCAAUAGCCAUUUACUAUAUUCAUGGAAAUUCAACCAGCACUGACACCACCAUCUGCUAUCCAGCAACAUGUUACAAUGGGAAUAUAAUCGCGGGAAAAAAAAUACUUUUCUGCCAUCCAGGAGCCUGUGCUUCUAAUAGAGACAACAAGAUGGAGAUGGAGAGCAGGGAAGACUUCAUUGAUGGUGGGCCUUAGGAGUUGAACAGAAGGAGAAAAGGACACAACCACCUCUGUAAAACCGCAGGCUUUGAACUCAUUUUUCCAAUGUCAGGCAUAUUUUUCCCUCUAAACAAUUUAAGAAAAUCUCCAAAAAUAUUAUUUUUUUCUUUAAAAACGCUUCCUCUCAAUCUUCAAUCUUUCACUAGGAGUGUCCGUCCGUCACUCGGGAAGCCUCAGGCGGAGGUGAGAGGGUGUCGGAAGGGCAACACGAGUUAGGGAAUGAUUUCAAUUGCCAAACUCAGUUCUGUCCUCUGCAGUGCAAUUUUCUGUUGUAAUUCAUCAGUUAGGCAAAGAUUGGCUCAGCUCCUGGAAAAACAAUCCCAUCUCUAUAAGAGACGCUGCCAAGAGGUGAACAUCUUAAAGAGAAAAAUCAUAAAGCAUUAAGGAUGGAGACAGUAUCUGAGGGAAGGUGACUCCUCUUUUCUCGGGAUUAUACUUCACAGAGAAUCAUUACUGUUCCCCCUGCCAAAGGCUUAAAAACUCAUCUCUGCUUUCACUUUUACAGCAAUUAUUAAUCUACUACCACUCAAGUUUCCAUCCUUCCUAAACCACCAAGAGUUUAACCUGCAUAUCCCCUAAAUC